UACGAAGGGUGCUAGCGUUGCUCGGAAUUACUGGGCGUAAAGCGCACGUAGGCGGCUUUCUAAGUCGGGGGUGAAAUCCUGGAGCUCAACUCCAGAACUGCCUUCGAUACUGGAGAGCUCGAGUCCGGGAGAGGUGAGUGGAACUGCGAGUGUAGAGGUGAAAUUCGUAGAUAUUCGCAAGAACACCAGUGGCGAAGGCGGCUCACUGGACCGGUACUGACGCUGAGGUGCGAAAGCGUGGGGAGCAAACAGG
rnacentral:rRNA from 1 species